rnacentral:rRNA from 1 species
UACAGAGGGUGCGAGCGUUAAUCGGAAUUACUGGGCGUAAAGCGCACGUAGGCGGCUUUGCAAGUCGGGUGUGAAAUCCCCGGGCUCAACCUGGGAACUGCAUUCGAGACUGCACUGCUGGAGUAUGGGAGAGGGAAGCGGAAUUUCCGGUGUAGCGGUGAAAUGCGUAGAUAUCGGAAGGAACAUCAGUGGCGAAGGCGACUUACUGGACACAUAUUGACGCUGAGGUGGCGAAAAGCGUGGGGAGCAAACAGG